UAUUGGGUCUAAAGGGUCCGUAGCCGGUUUAAUCAGUCUUCCGGGAAAUCUGACAGCUCAACUGUUAGGCUCCCGGGGGAUACUGUUAGACUUGGGACCGGGAGAGGUAAGAGGUACUACAGGGGUAGGAGUGAAAUCUUGUAAUCCCUGUGGGACCACCAGUGGCGAAGGCGUCUUACCAGAACGGGUCCGACGGUGAGGGACGAAAGCUGGGGGCACGAAC
rnacentral:rRNA from 1 species